rnacentral:lncRNA from 10 species
UGGAUGUGGCUCUGCUGCUAAUGCUGGCGGGGAAAAGUUGCAAGAAUGGCUAGUAAAGUUCCAAAACUACAAUUUCAUUUGGUUCCUUUCAACAUGGUCUUUGAAGUUUGUUUUGCAUAAAACUCCGAAAAUGAAUGAAUAAAUGAAGAACAGAUUUAAACAGUGGUUCCUCAAGAAUGAUGCUGCCUCAUCUCAUUUGCUCUUUAGAAAUUCAUCAGAAGAUCACCUAUACCGCUACAUGCAAUGCUUUCCAAAGGAUGGUCCUUGCAACAUCAACUCAGAAUACUCUUUUAAACUGCAAUUUACUGGGCCCCAUCUCAGAACUAAGAAUCCGAAGGUUUGGUGGGCAGCGAAUCUAUGUAUCUUGAAUGAAUGGAUUUGUUACUAGAAAGGCGUCUGGAUCCAGACAAGAGAGGUUCUUGGAUCUUGCACAAGAAAGAAUUCCAGAUGACUCCAUAAAGUGAAAGCAAGUUUAUUAGGAAAGUAAAGGCAUAAAGAAUGGCUACUCCAUAGGCAGAGCAAUGGGGUUGCUCCACCAAAGAUACUUAUGGUUACUUCUUGAUGAUAUGCUAAACAAGAGGUGGAUUAUUCAUGAGUUUUCUGGGAAAGAGGUGAGCAAUUCUCAGAACUGAGGGUUCCUCCCCUUUUUAGACCAUAUAGGGUAACUUCCUGACAUUACCAUGGCAUUUGUAAAUUGUCAUGGCACUGGUGGGAGUGUCUUUUAACAUGCUAUUGCUUUAUAAUUAGCAUAUAAUGAGCAGGGAGGAAUACCAGAGGUCACUCUUGUCACCAUCUUGGUUUUGGUGGGUUUUAGUUGGCUUCUUUACCACAACUUGUUUUAUCAGCAAGGUCUUUGUGACCUGUAUCUUGUGGCGACCUCCUAUCUCAUCCUGUGAGUAAGAAUGCCUAAACUCCUGGGAAUCCAGCCGAGCAGGUCUCAGCCUUAUUUUACCCAGCCCCUAUUCAAGAUGGAGUCUCUCUGGUUCAAACAUCUCUGACAGACUGAUGGACAAUAAUUCAGUCAGUUUAUAUGCACUUAACCCCUCCAUCUUUCAUUCUGCAAUCUUAAUUACGAAUGCCGCAUAAGAGAUUUAAUAGGCCUUGCAAAGCAAAACCAGUGAUACAAACAUUUUAAAGCAUACGUAUACUUAGAAAUAAUGCAAAACAUUAGAUAGUAAAUUCUGACAAGAAAAGCUAAUUUGAAAAACAGAAAUAGCUUUAGACAAAAUUUAGGUCUCCAAGGUAAAGUAAAAAGUUUCCAAGUAUUUUUGGAAACUUCAUUUCUCCUUUCUCAGUUUCUCUACGAUUCCAUGCUCCCAACCAAACUUCACAGAGGUCUUUCUCCUCUGUAAGCUAUCUUACUUGGCAUUAGCCAAUUUAAAAAAAAGAACUAGCAAUCACAUAGGCUGAUCACAUACAGAAAACCUGCCAAAACUCUGGUUGAAAGUGAAGAAUUCAGAUAUCUAGAUAUUUUUAUUUAUCCGUAAAUCCAUUCAUUCAAGAUAUGCAUUACUGAAUAAUAUGUACUGAGGGUAGAAAAAUGAGUAAGACAUGGCCCGUGCUUUUAAGAAAAAUUAUUCAAAUUUUAGAAAUUAAGAUCUCAUAGGAUAUUCUUUCAAUGCUGGGCAUUGCCUAACAAGCCUAUAGAAGCAUUUUUUAAAUCUCUAGAAGAAUGUACCUGUGUUUGUGCUGUUUAGUGUUAAUUAAGGGCUUAGAUGCUGUGAAAUUACAUGUUAACAUAUGUUAGUUGCAGAGGCCAGAGAUGUUGCUAAACAUCCUACAAUGUAGAAUUCUCCCUACAACAAAUAAUUCUCUGUCCAAAAAAUCAAUAGCACUGAAGUUGAGAAACCCUGUUCCAAAGAGAUCAAAAGGGAAACCAGGAAACCUUUGCCCUCCUUGGAAAGAGAAGUUUUAGUGGUUUCUGCAGUAGGUUGGUACAUGGGAUAGAAGUCAGGAAGUGAAGCCUGUGAGAGGACACUGCAGGUUUUUCCCAGUGGAGGUUGUUAAAUAAGGAAGUCCUAAAAUGAGAGGGGAGCCAGGGUUAGUGGAAGUUUCUUUUAGGAAUGAUAAUUGGUGGUACCAAAGUAUUUUAAAAUGUUUGAAUCAACUGAAGUUUUUAUUUUUCAUUUGGAUGUUAGAUGCCUUCGAAACUUUCAUCUAAGCCAUGUUAACAGUGUGUUAUCUUGAUGAAAGAUCUUUACAGUUUCUGCUUCUUUAAAAGGGGAGAAAAUAAUGCUGCCUAUUUAUGGCCACAUCUCAUGAUCGCACAGAUUUAGCAAAGGAAAAUACCCAAAGCGCCUUGAUGUCUAAUGUUGGAUUCUCACCGUUAAAUAUUUUAUGAAAAUCUUUUGAUCUUUUGUAAUGUCACUCUGUAAUCUUACUGCAUUUCUGUAGGUAAAUAUCUGAAUUAUUCAAAUUAGUUUAUUAACAGUCUUUCAUUUGUUAAAUACAGAUACUCCUUGAGUUAUGCUUCUUGUACAAUGAGUGACUGGCUGCUCAUUAUGUCUCAAAGAAAGGUUCCUCUCAGCACCCUUUUGUUUGAGAAAGGGGGGGUUUAUGAUACUAGGAGAAGUAAAUGUGAAGUCAUUACUGUCAGAAUUGUCUUUUUUGUUGUUGUUUCCUUAAGAAGUUGUUUCUUAAGGGUUGCUUUGCCUCAUGUGAGAAAGCCAGAGAGUGCUGUGGCAGAAUGGGUCAUUCUCUUCUUGUUGGAAGCCUGGCAGAGCCUGUGGCUGG